rnacentral:rRNA from 1 species
UACGUAGGUGGCAAGCGUUGUCCGGAAUAACUGGGCGUAAAGCGCAUGUAGACGGCAUAGCAAGCCAAGUGUGAAAUUUAGGGGCUUAACCUCUAAACUGCGCUUGGAACUGCUGAGCUUGAGUGCAGGAGAGGCAAGUGGAAUUCCCAGUGUAGCAGUGAAAUGCGUAGAUAUUGGGAGGAACACCAGUGGCGAAGGCGACUUGCUGGACUGCAACUGACGUUGAGAUGCGAAAGCUAGGGGAGCAAACGGGAUUAGAUACCCCGGUAGUCCUAGCUGUAAACGAUGGAUACUAGGCGUGGGAGGUAUCGACCCCUUCCGUGCCGCAGCGAACGCAAUAAGUAUCCCGCCUGGGGAGUACGGUCGCAAGAUUGAA